rnacentral:rRNA from 1 species
UACGGGGGGAGCAAGCGUUGUUCGGAUUUACUGGGCGUAAAGGGCGCGUAGGCGGCGCGGUAAGUCACUUGUGGAAUCUCUGAGCUUAACUCAGAACGGCCAAGUGAUACUGCAGUGCUAGAGUGCAGAAGGGGCAAUCGGAAUUCUUGGUGUAGCGGUGAAAUGCGUAGAUAUCAAGAGGAACACCUGAGGUGAAGACGGGUUGCUAGGCUGACACUGACGCUGAGGCGCGAAAGCCAGGGGAGCAAACGGG